GUCCCGGUAGCUUAAUACCAAAGCAUUGGUCUUUUAAACCAAAGAUUGUAGACUAAUUACUACCCGAGACU
rnacentral:tRNA from 1 species